UGCAUGGUUGUCGUCAGCUCGUGUCGUGAGAUGUUGGUUAAGUCCCGCAACGAGCGCAACCCCUACGUUUAGUUGCUAACGCGUGAAGGCGAGCACUCUAGACGAACUGCCGUUGACAAAACGGAGGAAGGUGGGGAUGACGUCAAAUCAUCAUGCCCCUUAUGUUCUGGGCUACACACGUGCUACAAUGGCCGGUACAGACGGACGCAAAGCCGCGAGGUGGAGCAAAUCCUAAAAAGCCGGUCUCAGUUCGGAUUGCAGGCUGCAAUUCGCCUGCAUGAAGUCGGAAUCGCUAGUAAUCGCGGAUCAGAACGCCGCGGUGAAUACGUUCUCGGGGUUU
rnacentral:rRNA from 1 species